rnacentral:rRNA from 1 species
UACAGAGGUGGCAAGCGUUGUUCGGAAUUACUGGGCGUAAAGGGCGCGUAGGCGGUCUUCUAAGUCUUGUGUGAAAUCCCUCGGCUCAACUGAGGAACUGCACGGGAUACUGGAAGACUUGAGUUCGGGAGAGGGAAGCGGAAUUCCGGGUGUAGCGGUGAAAUGCGUAGAUAUCCGGAGGAACACCGGUGGCGAAGGCGGCUUCCUGGACCGAUUACUGACGCUGAGGCGCGAAAGCGUGGGGAGCAAACAGG